rnacentral:rRNA from 1 species
ACUCCUACGGGAGGCAGCAGUCGGGAAUUUUGGGCAAUGGGGGAAACCCUGACCCAGCAACGCCGCGUGAAGGAUGAAGUAUUUCGGUAUGUAAACUUCGUAAAAAUGGGAUGAACAAAUGACAGUACCAUUUGUAAGCCCCGGCUAACUACGUGCCAGCAGCCGCGGUAAUAC